UACGUAGGGCGCAAGCGUUGUCCGGAAUUAUUGGGCGUAAAGCGCUCGCAGGUGGUUCGCUGCGUCGUGCGUGAAAGACCCCGGCUCAACUGGGGGGUGUCGUGCGAUACGGGCGGACUGGAGGCCAGUAGGGGGAUGCGGAAUUCCGGGUGUAGUGGUGGAAUGCGUAGAGAUCCGGAGGAACACCAGCGGCGAAGGCGGCAUCCUGGACUGGUCCUGACACUCAUGAGCGAAAGCGUGGGGAGCGAUCCGG
rnacentral:rRNA from 1 species